rnacentral:rRNA from 1 species
ACGGGAGGCAGCAGUGGGGAAUAUUGCACAAUGGAGGAAACUCUGAUGCAGCGACGCCGCGUGAGUGAUGAAGUAUUUCGGUAUGUAAAGCUCUAUCAGUAGGGAAGAUAAUGACGGUACCUAACUAAGAAGCACCGGCUAAAUACGUGCCAGCAGCCGCGGUAAUACGUAUGGUGCAAGCGUUAUCCGGAUUUACUGGGUGUAAAGGGAGCGUAGGUGGUUUGGCAAGCCAGAAGUGAAAACCCGGGGCUCAACCCCGUGGAUUGCUUUUGGAACUGUUGAACUAGAGCGCAGGAGGGGUAAGUGGAAUUCCCAGUGUAGCGGUGAAAUGCGUAGAUAUUGGGAAGAACACCGGUGGCGAAGGCGGCUUACUGGACUGUAACUGACACUGAGGCUCGAAAGCGUGGGGAGCAAACAGGAUUAGAUACCCUGGUA